AACUAUUCUCAGGGCGGGGUGAAAUUCCCCACCGGCGGUGAUUUCCGAUGUAUGACGGAAACAGCCCGCGAGCGCCUGCGGCAUUUGCCCAGGGUCAAGCAGAUCUGGUGUGAUUCCAGAGCCGACGGUUAGAGUCCGGAAGAGAGAGGAUAGCU
rnacentral:ncRNA from 2 species